rnacentral:rRNA from 1 species
CAAUAGCGUAUAUUUAAGUUGUUGCAGUUAAAAAGCUCGUAGUUGGAUUUCGGAUGGGACUUGCCGGUCCGUCGUUUCGAUGUGCACUGGCCAGUCCUAUCUUGUUGUCGGGGACUAGCUCCUGGGCUUCACUGUCCGGGACUAGGAGCUGACGAGGUUACUUUGAGUAAAUUAGAGUGUUCAAAGCAAGCCUACGCUCUGAAUACAUUAGCAUGGAAUAACACGAUAGGACUCUGGCUUAUCUUGUUGGUCUGUGAGACCAGAGUAAUGAUUAAGAGGGACAGUCGGGGGCAUUCGUAUUUCAUUGUCAGAGGUGAAAUUCUUGGAUUUACGGAAGACGAACAUCUGCGAAAGCAUUUGCCAAGGAUGUUUNCAUUG